AUGCUCGCUUCAGCAGCACACAUAUACUAAAAUUGGAACAAUACAGAAAAGAUUAGCAUGGCCCCUGUGCAAGGAUGACGUGCAAAUUCAUGGAGCAUUCCAUAUUUGG